AGAUGAAACCAUGUUGUUGUUACAAAAAGUGUGACUCAAAUGAAGAAUUUUUUGAAAGAUAUGUUUGAGUAUCAAAAAUAAAAUUAUAAUUUUCUUUUAAAAAAAUAAAAAAAUAAAAAAUGGAAGUUUCAGCGUCAAAGUAGAAUAGCUAAAUCCAUGCCGUUGUCAUGGAUAAUAUGCCAAAAAAAUUAGUUAAAUUUUUUCAAAGUAUUACUUUUUAAUAUAUUAAAAAAUAUUUAAACCAAUGCAAUACAUUACAAUGAGGACACGGACACAAACCAUUUAUCCUCUUUAGAUUAUGUAUAGCUUCAAUGCUGGUCACUACAACCUCUCUUUAACAUCUAUCCUUACAAUCAUUUGUAACUGUUUCAGCUUUUCUUUGUGCUCUUUCAUGUUUCCUAGACUAUUUCAUGUUUCCUAGACUUGUUAAGAAAUUUUGAUUUGAUUCAUUCUAUUGAUUAUUAA
rnacentral:lncRNA from 1 species